UUGAUCCUGCCAGAGGCUACUGCCAUCAGAGUUCGAUUAAGCCAUGUUAGUUGAGGGUAUCUCUUCUUCUUCGGAGGGAGAGGGAACCCGGCAGACGGCUCAGUAACACGUGGAUAACUUGCCCUUGGGUCUGGGAUAACCCCUGGGAAACUGGGGCUAAUACCGGAUAGGGCAUUGGCCGCUGGAAUGCGCAAUGCUCGAAAACUUAGGUGCCCAAGGAUAGGUCUGCGGCUGAUUAGGUCGUUGUUGAUGUAAUGGACCAACAAGCCUACGAUCGGUACGGGUUGUGAGAGCAAUAGCCCGGAGAUGGGUUCUGAGAAAAGAACCCAGGUCCUACGGGACGCAUCAGGCGCGAAAACUUUACAAUGUGCGAAAGCACGAUAAGGGAACUCUGAGUGCCUCCAAAGGAGGCUGUUCAGGUGUCUAAAAAGCAACUGAAGUAAGGGCUGGGUAAGACCGGUGCCAGCCGCCGCGGUAACACCGGCAGCCCAAGUGGUAGCCACGUUUAUUGGAUCUAAAGCGUUCGUAGCCGGCCAGGUAAGUUCCUUGGUAAAUUUAGCCGCUCAACGGUUAAGCUUUCAGGGAAUACUGCUCGGCUUGGGACUGGGAGAGGUCAGAGGUACUCCAAGGGUAGGGGUGAAAUCCAUUAAUCCUU
rnacentral:rRNA from 1 species